GACGUUUGCAUGGAAACCAGAAAAAUGGGCUUAAGUCAAGAAUGCAAUAACCUCACUCAAAACUGCUCUCCAUGGCAGGCACUCAUCCGCUUCCAGCCGUUCUGCUCGCGGGAAGAUAAAUGGAGGGGAGGAAUCCUGGGCAUGGCUGCACGGGAGCGGGCUCACAACGCACUGGGUGAUGCACAACAGCUUUUCCAGGCACGUUUCUCCCCCUCCCUCCACGAAUUUUAUUUCUGUAUGAAGUCUCCUCUGAUAAAUAUCCCCAACAGUGAUUUCAGACAAACACCCUAAAAUGGCUACAUCAGUGUUCCUCCUGCAGAGCAGUCAGAAGAGACACUCACAAAUAUACCCAGGUAAUCCCUGCUUCUGCUGCAAAACCAUGUGUAAAAAUUCUGCUGAAAUCCAAGGAAAAAGUUGUGCUCAGUCUAAUCAGGAGUUCACCUUUCCUCCAGAAGAUU
rnacentral:lncRNA from 1 species